ACCGGCCAGGUGGUGUUUCCUUCUGGUAAUACUUAACCACUUAGAGACUUAUUUUAACGCUUUUGCAGUCCCUUAGAAAGUUAAAUUUAAUUAGACAUUUCUUACAAGAUUUAAGUUUUAAAGGCGUUAUUUCCAACCCUUAGAUACUGAUGCACAGCAAAAAGCAUAAAUCCUGAACAGACUGCGUGUUACUCAGACUGCUAGUUGUUGGUGGUCACAAUAUACAGGCCUGAUGGGGUUUCCUCCUGGCAAUACAAUGUCCCCAAACAGUGGAAACUCCACUGCAGCACAAAGCAAAGCCAAAGUGAAACAUAUAUCAGUAAAAACUGAAGAGCUGUAGAUUACAGUUGUUAUUUUAGAUAAGCUCCAACUUUAGUAAGUUUGGUUUGUUCAUUUGGUAUCAAUUCAGGAUGCUCAUAUGAUUCAGCCUCAGGCACGAAAGGCAUCUCAUAACCUUCACAAUACACAUACACAAAUAAAUACAUAAACAGGUCCUAGUGGUGUAGUAGAUAUGGUGUCUGCCUAGUGAUCAGGAGGUCACAGCUAGUGGUGUAGUAGAUAUGGUGUCUGCCUAGUGAUCAGGAGGUCACAGCUAGUGGUGUAGUAGAUAUGGUGUCUGCCUAGUGAUCAGGAGGUCACAGCUAGUGGUGUAGUAGAUAUGGUGUCUGCCUAGUGAUCAGGAGGUCACAGCUAGUGGUGUAGUAGAUAUGGUGUCUGCCUAGUGAUCAGGAGGUCACAGCUAGUGGUGUAGUAGAUAUGGUGUCUGCCUAGUGAUCAGGAGGUCACAGCUAGUGGUGUAGUAGAUAUGGUGUCUGCCUAGUGAUCAGGAGGUCACAGCUAGUGGUGUAGUAGAUAUGGUGUCUGCCUAGUGAUCAGGAGGUCACAGCUAGUGGUGUAGUAGAUAUGGUGUCUGCCUAGUGAUCAGGAGGUCACAGCUAGUGGUGUAGUAGAUAUGGUGUCUGCCUAGUGAUCAGGAGGUCACAGCUAGUGGUGUAGUAGAUAUGGUGUCUGCCUAGUGAUCAGGAGGUCACAGCUAGUGGUGUAGUAGAUAUGGUGUCUGCCUAGUGAUCAGGAGGUCACAGCUAGUGGUGUAGUAGAUAUGGUGUCUGCCUAGUGAUCAGGAGGUCACAGCUAGUGGUGUAGUAGAUAUGGUGUCUGCCUAGUGAUCAGGAGGUCACAGCUAGUGGUGUAGUAGAUAUGGUGUCCGCCUAGUGAUCAGGAGGUCACAGGUUGGAUCCUGUAUUUGAAGAUUUCCCCCAUAGACACCAAGUACUGAUUCUAGUCCCAGGAAAUGGACUU